rnacentral:rRNA from 1 species
UGGCUCAGGAUGAACGCUGGCGGCGUGCCUAACACAUGCAGUCGAGCGAUUCACUUCGGUGAAGAGCGGCGGACGGGUGAGUAACGCGUGGGUAACCUGCCUCAUACACAUGGAUAACAUACCGAAAGGUAUGCUAAUACAGGAUAAUAUAAGAGAUUCACAUGUAUUUCUUAUCAAAGCUCCGGCGGUAUGAGAUGGACCCGCGUCUGAUUAGCUAGUUGGUAAGGUAACGGCUUACCAAGGCGACGAUCGGUAGCCGACCUGAGAGGGUGAUCGGCCACAUUGGAACUGAGACACGGUCCAAACUCCUACGGGAGGCAGCAGUGGGGAAUAUUGCACAAUGGGCGAAAGCCUGAUGCCAGCAACGCCGCGUGAGUGAUGAAGGCCUUCGGGUCGUAAAACUCUGUCCUCAAGGAAGAUAAUGACGGUACUUGAGGAGGAAGCCCCGGCUAACUACGUGCCAGCAGCCGC